rnacentral:rRNA from 1 species
AACGAACGCUGGCGGCAGGCCUAACACAUGCAAGUCGAACGAGAUCUUCGGAUCUAGUGGCGGACGGGUGAGUAACGCGUGGGAACGUGCCCUUCUCUACGGAAUAGUCCGGGGAAAACUGGGUUUUAAUACCCGUAUACGCCCUUCGGGGGUAAAGGAAUUUCGGGUAAGGAUCGGCCCGCGUUGGAUUAGGUAGUUGGUGGGGUAAUGGCCUACCAAGCCGACGAUCCAUAGCUGGUUUUGAGAGGAUGAUCAGCCACACUGGGACUGAGACACGGCCCAGACUCCUACGGGAGGCAGCAGUGGGGAAUCUUAGACAAUGGGGGCAACCCUGAUCUAGCCAUGCCGCGUGAGUGACGAAGGCCCUA